AUCUUACUGUUUUUAGUUUUCGAACUUUGAUAUUGAUUUAAGGAUAUUUGUGACGCGCAUCAGGCUUAGUUAUAGAAUCCCCCAUUGUAGAACAUUUGGUUGCUUCUAUUUAAUUUAUUAUGUACAAUCGAUACCGGCAAUAACAUUAAAGUUAAAGACUAAAUUACAA